rnacentral:rRNA from 1 species
CCUACGGGAGGCAGCAGUAGGGAAUAUUGGUAAUCUGGGAAACCGGGAACCAGCAACGCCGCGUGCGCGAUGAAGGCCUUCGGGUUGUAAAGCGCUUUUAGAAGGGAUGGGGAAGGACAGUACCUUCUGAAUAAGCCUCGGCUAACUACGUGCCGCAGCCGCGGUAAAACGUAGGAGGCGAGCGUUAUCCGGAUUUACUGGGCGUAAAGCGCAUGCAGGCGGUCUUGUAAGUUGGAUGUGAAAGCUCCUGGCUUAACUGGGAGAGGUCUUCAAAACUGCAAGACUUGAGAGUGGUAGAGGGAGGUGGAAUUCCGGUGUAGUGGUGAAAUGCGUAGAUAUCCGAGGAACACCAGUGGCGAAAGCGGCCUCCUGGACCACUUCUGACGCUCAGACGCGAAAGCUAAGGUAGCAAACGGGAUUAGAGACCCCGGUAGUCUUAUCUGUAAACGAUGUGAACUUGGCGUCGGUGGGUUUAAAUCCAUCGUGCCGAACAAACGCGAUAAGUUCACCCCUGGGGACUACGGCCGCAAGGUUUAAAACUCAAAGGAAUUGACGGGCCCCCACAAACAGCGGAACGUGUGUUAAUUCAUGCUACACGAAGAACCUUACCAGGGUUUGACAUGUUAAAUGGUAGAACUUAAAAGGGACCGACCCCUUCGGGGAGCUAUGAGAAGG